rnacentral:rRNA from 1 species
GACGAACCGAGCGAACGUUGUUCGGAAUCACUGGGCUUAAAGGGCGCGUAGGCGGGUGCUCAAGUCCGUGGUGAAAUCCUCCGGCUCAACCGAGAACUGCCUCGGAUACUGGGCGUCUCGAGUGUGGUAGGGUAUGCGGAACUAUCGGUGGAGCGGUGAAAUGCGUAGAUAUCGAGAGGAACACCGGUGGCGAAGGCGGCCCACUGGCUCGACACUGACGCUGAGGUGCGAAAGCGUGGGGAGCAAACAGG